rnacentral:hammerhead_ribozyme from 1 species
GCACUGAUGAAGAGUCCCAAACUAGGACGAAACAGCUGUCCAGCAC